rnacentral:lncRNA from 1 species
UGAUUCCCACAUUAAGGAAUGUCUCAACAUCCUUCAUAGCAAUUCUUGACUACCAAAUCCAGUCUCAAUAUCAAGCAUUAAUAGAACUAUGUAUACCUAGUUGCUUAAGACCAUUAGCCAAUGUAUGAAAAUCUAGUUGGGCUUUAUAAAUAUGGAGUGGCCACGUAACAUUAUCUAAACUGGGACAUUUUUAAAAGUGAAAGGGGGCAGUAAAAUAAUUCACAGGUGUUAGCUGAUCUCCAAAUGUAAACUGGGGCUGUGCCCAGCAGACACUACUUUUGACUUCCCAAGAGGACACUCCUCAUAAUCGUAACUUAAUCUUGCAACCAUUUCACACUCUGGUAGUUUACACCUCAGCCUGCGCAGGUCUCUCCCAAACCUGGUACUGUUCUCUCACCACCCAUUACGGUCUUUUGCGUUUCUGUUUUCUCCUUACCCAUCACUGUAUCUUAAUAAUGCCCAGCCCAAGUGAUGGGUAAAGCAGUGAUCCUUAUUGAGGACUCCCAGCGGACUACAUUGGCCUUCUGCAGGUUAAGUGGAUAUGAAUAAGAAUGAGUAAUUUUACUUUCUGCAAAAAAACACAGAAAUGACUGUAUAUUAAUUUAAAAUUAGAGAAAACAAUGACUCCUUCAAAAUGCAAGUGAAAUGGGGCAACAAUCAUUCAAGCUAUCUUUAAUAAACUUGUAAACCC